rnacentral:rRNA from 1 species
UCACAUCCGAGGCCUUGUAAUUGGAAUGAGUACACUUUAAAUCCUUUAACAAGGAUCAAUUGGAGGGCAAGUCUGGUGCCAGCAGCCGCGGUAAUUCCAGCUCCAAUAGCGUAUAUUAAAGUUGUUGCGGUUAAAACGUUCGUAGUUGAACUUGUGUUUCGCACGGGCAGCUACCAUAGGCUAGUUUACUGGUCCGGUAACUUGUCUUAUCUUGCCUGGGCCUCGUGUCUUGGCAAAAGUGCGUGGACGUAUUAUCGACGUGUUCGCUCUUGCAGCGUUCACAUAAGCUCAGCUCAGUGAUCUUAACCGAUUGUUGUUGUGAGCCGAUACAAAUUACUUUGAACAAAUUAGAGUGCUUAAAGCAGGCUUGUAAUGCCUGAAUAUUUUGUGCAUGGAAUAAUGAAAUAGGACAUCUGUUCUACUUUCAUUGGUUUUUUAGACCAAGAUGUAAUGAUUAAUGGAAGCAGUUGGGGGCAUUAGUAUUACAACGCGAGAGGUGAAAUUCUUAGACCGUUGUAAGACUGACUAAAGCGAAAGCAUUUGCCAAAGAUGUUUUCAUUUAAUCAAGAACGAAAGUUAGAGGUUCGAAGGCGAUCAGAUACCGCCCUAGUUCUAACCAUAAACGAUGCCAGCUAGCAAUUGAGUGUAGCUACUACUAUGGCUCUUUCAGUCGCUUCUCGGGAAACCAAAGCUUUUGGGCUCCGGGGGAAGUAUGGUUGCAAAGCUGAAACUUAAAGGAAUUGACGGAAGGGCACCACCAGGAGUGGAGCCUGCGGCUUAAUUUGACUCAACACGGGAAAACUUACCAGGUCCGAACAUAAAUGAGUAAGACAGAUUG